ACGUGUGUAUGUGGGCUUAUG
rnacentral:miRNA from 15 species